rnacentral:rRNA from 1 species
ACGAACGCUGGCGGCGUGCCUAAUCCAUGCAAGUAGAACGCACAGUUUAUACCGUAGCUUGCUACACCAUAGACUGUGAGUUGCGAACGGGUGAGUAACGCGUAGGUAACCUGCCUGGUAGCGGGGGAUAACUAUUGGAAACGAUAGCUAAUACCGCAUAAUAUUAAUUAUUGCAUGAUAAUUAAUUGAAAGGUGCAAUUGCACCACUACCAGAUGGACCUGCGUUGUAUUAGCUAGUAGGUGAGGUAACGGCUCACCUAGGCGACGAUACAUAGCCGACCUGAGAGGGUGAUCGGCCACACUGGGACUGAGACACGGCCCAGACUCCUACGGGAGGCAGCAGUAGGGAAUCUUCGGCAAUGGACGAAAGUCUGACCGAGCAACGCCGCGUGAGUGAAGAAGGUUUUCGGAUCGUAAAGCUCUGUUGUAAGAGAAGAACGGGUGUGAGAGUGGAAAGUUCACACUGUGACGGUAUCUUACCAGAAAGGGACGGCUAACUACGU